CUUCUUCCUACCCUUAUUGACUUAAUGGCAGUUCUGUAGUCCUGAGGUGCAGUUUAUCAGGCCACACUUCUGUGUCUGCCUCGCAGCAAAGUGGUCACUCACAGGUAUGCAACUUCUAGUCAACAACUGGAGAUAAUAUUUUUGCAGCCCUGCUUCCUUUGCCUGUUAGUGCUUCAUUCCUUCUCUUCAGGGACAGGCU